GUGUUGAAAGUUUGAAUCAAUAUUAUUAUUAUAGUUUAAUAGAGUUUAUUGAGUUUCUUAGGAUUCCUAUUGUUACUAGUUUUAACUAUAGGAAUUAUGAGUAUUAGUUGGUGUGUUACAAAUUUAAGGUAGUUUAAUUCUGAUUUAUGUUUAUGUUUUUUAUGUUAUGUUUUUCAUGUGUUUAAAGGAUGAUAAUAUCAAUAAAAUUGUGUGAGUUGUAUUCCUCCUUCCUCUAAAAAAAACCAACAGUGGUAUCUAGAGCUUUUUUCUUGAGGGACC
rnacentral:lncRNA from 1 species